rnacentral:rRNA from 1 species
UACGUAGGGGGCAAGCGUUGUCCGGAAUUAUUGGGCGUAAAGAGCGUGUAGGCGGCCAGAUAAGUCCGCUGUGAAAUCUCGAGGCUCAACCUCGAGACGUCGAUGGAAACCGCAUGGCUAGAGUCCGGAAGAGGAGAGUGGAAUUCCUGGUGUAGCGGUGAAAUGCGCAGAUAUCAGGAGGAACACCAAUGGCGAAGGCAGCACUCUGGGACGGUACUGACGCUGAGACGCGAAAGCGUGGGGAGCAAACAGG